AAUUUUUUAAGGUUGACCUCGGAUCAGGUAGGAAUACCCG
rnacentral:rRNA from 1 species